rnacentral:misc_RNA from 1 species
GAAAUGCGAUAAGUAAUGUGAAUUGCAGAAUUCAGUGAAUCAUCGAAUCUUUGAACGCACAUUGCGCCCGCCAGUAUUCUGGCGGGCAUGCCUGUUCGAGCGUCAUUUCAACCAUCAAGCCCCGGCGCUUGUGUUGGGGACCCGCGGCUGCCGCGGGCCCUUAAAGACAGUGGCGGUCCUCGCUGCAGCACCGAGCGUAGUAGCUAUACACCUCGCCCUGGGAGCUGCGCGUUCGACCACGCCGUAAAACCCCCCACCUCUCACAAGGUUGACCUCGGAUCAGGUAGGAAUACCCGCUGAACUUAAGC